UGGGGGAUAUUGCACAAUGGGCGGAAGCCUGAUGCAGCAACGCCGCGUGCGGGAUGACGGCCUUCGGGUUGUAAACCGCUUUCGCCUGUGACGAAGCGUGAGUGACGGUAAUGGGUAAAGAAGCACCGGCUAACUACGUGCCAGCAGCCGCGGUGAUACGUAGGGUGCGAGCGUUGUCCGGAUUUAUUGGGCGUAAAGGGCUCGUAGGUGGUUGAUCGCGUCGGAAGUGUAAUCUUGGGGCUUAACCCUGAGCGUGCUUUCGAUACGGGUUGACUUGAGGAAGGUAGGGGAGAAUGGAAUUCCUGGUGGAGCGGUGGAAUGCGCAGAUAUCAGGAGGAACACCAGUGGCGAAGGCGGUUCUCUGGGCCUUUCCUGACGCUGAGGAGCGAAAGCGUGGGGAGCGAACAGGCUUAGAUACCCUGGUAGUCCACGCUGUAAACGGUGGGUACUAGGUGUGGGGUCCAUUCCACGGGUUCCGCGCCGUAGCUAACGCUUUAAGUACCCCGCCUGGGGAGUACGGCCGCAAGGCUAAAACUCAAAGGAAUUGACGGGGCCCCGCACAAGCGGCGGAGCAUGCGGAUUAAUUCGAUGCAACGCGUAGAACCUUACCUGGGUUUGACAUGGAUCGGGAGUGCUCAGAGAUGGGUGUGCCUCUUUUGGGGUCGGUUCACAGGUGGUGCAUGGCUGUCGUCAGCUCGUG
rnacentral:rRNA from 1 species